rnacentral:lncRNA from 1 species
UUGUCAGACACGUUUGAACCGGAGCAAUUCCACGUCGAAUAGCAGCGGGGUAGAAUGCGGCUGGGACCUACCGGGCGGCAUUCCCAGGUGGUCAGACGUCCGAAGUCACAAGAUGAGACAGCAGGGACACCAGACACUGGAUCAGGACCCACCCUCAUCCAGGACGACCUCAUCUUAAGUAACCUGAUGACAUCUGCAAAGACUCUGUUUCCAAAUAAGGUCACAUUCAGAGUUUCCCGCUGGAGGAGAGGACUGAGGGGGUCCUAUUCAACCCACUCCUAUGCUUAUGCUGAUGCCAAUUGAUGCUGCCUUGACUCCGCAAAUCCCAGGGAACGUUUACAGAAGGCACAGAGAAACCAUGCAUGGAGACACCCUAGGGCAGGUGAG